rnacentral:sRNA from 1 species
UUACUCAAUAGUUCUCCUAGAUAUGUGC